AUUCCGAUUGGGGCCAUGUCAGUGAUGCCGUCAAUGUUUAUGACCAGCUCAUUUCUAAGCACCCAGCUGAUUUCCGAGGUUACUUGGCAAAGGGAAUCAUAUUGAAGGAAAAUGGUAAAGUUGGUGAUGCGGAAAGGAUGUUCAUUCAAGCAAGAUUCUUUGCACCGGAACCAGGAAAGGCACUUGUCGAUCGGUAUGCAAG
rnacentral:misc_RNA from 1 species